rnacentral:rRNA from 1 species
ACUCAAAUGAAUUGACGGGGGCCCGCACAAGCGGAGGAACAUGUGGUUUAAUUCGAUGAUACGCGAGGAACCUUACCCGGGCUCGAACGGCAGUGGAAUAUAGUGGAAACAUUAUAGCUAGCAAUAGCCGCUGUCGAGGUGCUGCAUGGUUGUCGUCAGCUCGUGCCGUGAGGUGUCGGCUUAAGUGCCAUAACGAGCGCAACCCUUAUCUUUAGUUACCAUCAGGUUAAGCUGGGGACUCUAAAGAGACUGCCACCGUAAGGUGUGAGGAAGGUGGGGAUGACGUCAAAUCAGCACGGCCCUUACGUCCGGGGCGACACACGUGUUACAAUGGGAGGGACAAAGGGUCGCUACACAGCAAUGUGAUGCUAAUCUCAAAACCCUCUCUCAGUUCGGAUUGGAGUCUGCAACUCGACUCCAUGAAGCUGGAUUCGCUAGUAAUCGCGCAUCAGCCAUGGCGCGGUGAAUACGUUCCCGGGCCUUGUACACACCGCCCGU